rnacentral:lncRNA from 1 species
UGCUCAAAAUUUAAGAACACUUUCUGUGUUCCUGAGGCUUUUGGAUUAGUUUAUCAACAUCUUGCUUAUAUUUCUUGAUAUUACUGGAGCAAAAUAUAUAUGCUAUUAGUGUUCUUGCUUUUCCUAGAUAAUAAUUCUAGUGAUAUUUCCUAAUCAGUAAUAUGUAUUAGGAUCUCCUCUUAAAAUUACCUAUUUAAAUCUCUAUCUACAUCUCCAGGCCAUAGCAGGCAGGUUCUGAUUUAGAGAGAUACAGGAGCACAGUGAAAUCUAAUCUGUGUUUUUCAGAGUCCUCCAGAGGACAUUGAUAUGCACUCCUAUGCACAUGUGUUUGGAAAUACAGGCUGUUUACCAGGUCCAAACCUAAGGCAGUGGACAGCUUCUGUUCCCUCUUCUGCUUUUGCAAAUCUUCUCUCCUACCUGAUCACCUGUCUGAAAGCAGAAUUAUUGGCAAACAGCUUCUUGCGAUAUUGACCUCAGAUCUGUGCCUGAAACAGAGAGCUGUUAUUAUCUGAACUAUACAAGCAUGAGAGUAAGUGAGCAUACAGUUCAUUGAAAAGGCUUGUUAGGGAC